GUUGCUUUGGCAGAUAAGUGCAAUAGAUUUAGAAUCUUUUCAUGUAGAUUUAAUUCUUCAGGUAACA
rnacentral:tRNA from 1 species